rnacentral:pre_miRNA from 1 species
CAUGGGGGGGCGUGUCCCUCAGCCUGGAUUGCCAGAGGGUGCAGGCCAGGUUAAGGGACCCCACUGGUGCACG